ACUUCUGUACCAGCUGGCUGAGACCACAGGGCCACGGUGUUGGGACGGAUGGCUUGGGUGCCAUCUUGUGUAAGCACGGCUCCUCUAGCUCACUGCAGAAACAGAGAGAUGGCAUGUUAACAGCAGCUGGAGGCUCUCACUGAGAUUCAGAGGAAACUAUGACAGGAAGCUGCAAAGAGCCAGCAGAGCAGUCAAACUGAAUUUGAAUCUGCUUCUCCACUUGGUAGCGAUGGGACGCUGGGUCUUACUCUCUGAAUCUCGAAGAACUGUGGAGUGGAUGUACCUGCCUCAUAAGAUUGUUCAGGGAACUAAAUGGGAAAAAGGACAUGAAGGGGAGAGCAUGCUAUCUGACUCAAAUAAACCAUUAUCAUCAUUGUG